CUUGGCAUCUAUUAGUUUUGACUCUGCUAUUUCAUUUUGUGUUCACCUCCUUUCCAUAUAGUAGCACUAAAAUUGAUGCAUAUACUUGUCCAAAUUUUUUAAAUUUUAAGAAACCAAAACCCCCUCCUCCACCGCCCUCUUAGGUUGUCAUAUAUAGGCAAUAAGUGGUAUCAUAGGUUGGUUUUCUGCCCCUUUUAAUUUAACUAUUUGGAGUAAAAGAUCAAUGGCAAUCC
rnacentral:lncRNA from 1 species